AACGUAGGUACCGAGCGUUAUCCGGAUUUACUGGGCGUAAAGCGCGUUCAGGCGGUUUGGCAAGUCGGGCAUGAAAUCUCUCGGCUCAACCGGGAGAGGUUGUCCGAUACUGCUGGACUUGAGGGCAGUAGAGGGUGGUGGAAUUCCGGGUGUAGUGGUGAAAUGCGUAGAGAUCCGGAGGAACACCGAAGGCGAAGGCAGUGUCCUGGGGAGUACCUGACGCUCAGGUGCGAAAGCCAGGGGAGCGAACGGG
rnacentral:rRNA from 1 species